rnacentral:rRNA from 1 species
AACGUAGGUACCGAGCGUUAUCCGGAUUCACUGGGCGUAAAGCGCGUGCAGGUGGUUUGGUAAGUCGGGCAUGAAAUCUCUUGGCUCAACUGAGAGACGCUGUCCGAUACUGCCGGACUUGAGGACAUAAGAGGGAGGUGGAAUUCCGCAUGUAGUGGUGAAAUGCGUAGAUAUGCGGAGGAACACCAGUGGCGAAGGCGGCCUCCUGGUAUGUACCUGACACUCAGACGCGAAAGCUAGGGGAGCGAACGGG